GACGAACGCUGGCGGCGUGCUUAACACAUGCAAGUCGAACGGAAAGGCCCUGCUUGCAGGGUACUCGAGUGGCGAACGGGUGAGUAACACGUGGGUGAUCUGCCCUGCACUUCGGGAUAAGCCUGGGAAACUGGGUCUAAUACCGGAUAGGAGCCAUUUUUAGUGUGAUGGUUGGAAAGUUUUUUCGGUGUAGGAUGAGCUCGCGGCCUAUCAGCUUGUUGGUGGGGUAAUGGCCUACCAAGGCGGCGACGGGUAGCCGGCCUGAGAGGGUGGACGGCCACAGUGGGACUUGGAUACGGCCCAGACACCGACGGGAUGGAGCAGUGGGGAAUAUUGCACAAUGGGCGCGAGCCUGAUGCAGCGACGCCGCGGGGGGGAUGACGGCCUUCGGGUUGUAAACUCCUUUCGCUAGGGACGAAGCUUUUUGUGACGGUACCUAGAUAAGAAGCACCGGCUAACUACGUG
rnacentral:rRNA from 1 species